rnacentral:rRNA from 1 species
UGGGGAAUAUUGCGCAAUGGGGGGAACCCUGACGCAGCCAUGCCGCGUGAAUGAAGAAGGCCUUCGGGUUGUAAAGUUCUUUCGGUAAUGAGGAAGGGAUGUUAUUAAAUAGAUAGCAUCAUUGACGUUAAUUACAGAAGAAGCACCGGCUAACUCCGUGCCAGCAGCCGCGGUAAUACGGAGGGUGCGAGCGUUAAUCGGAAUAACUGGGCGUAAAGGGCACGCAGGCGGACUUUUAAGUGAGAUGUGAAAUCCCCGAGCUUAACUUGGGAACUGCAUUUCAGACUGGGAGUCUAGAGUACUUUAGGGAGGGGUAGAAUUCCACGUGUAGCGGUGAAAUGCGUAGAGAUGUGGAGGAAUACCGAAGGCGAAGGCAGCCCCUUGGGAAUGUACUGACGCUCAUGUGCGAAAGCGUGGGGAGCAAACAGGAUUAGAUACCCUGGUAGUCCACGCUGUAAACGCUGUCGAUUUGGGGAUUGGGCUAUAUGCUUGGUGCCCGAAGCUAACGUGAUAAAUCGACCGCCUGGGGAGUACGGCCGCAAGGUUA